CUCGCCGGUAAGCUUGAAUUCAGGUUGCCAUCUUGUUGUGACAGAGGUUCUUGGAAGCAAGGUUGGACAAUGUUGUAAAUAUUCAGUCCACUUAGAGCCUAAACAAUACAGCCAACAUGUAGAAAAUCAAGUAAGUCUGUUUUGCAGAUUGCUACCAAUCCUGUGUUCCAUGAGAGGUUUAAGCACGUUGAGAUCGACUAACACUUAGUUCGUGAGAAGGUUCAAGCCGAUGUCAUUCAUCUUCUCCAAUUUCUUCUCGACAUCAACUUGCUGAUCUUUUUACGAAAUCUCGACAUUUUCGUGACUUUCAUCGUUUCCUGCUCAAGCUGAGUGUUCAAAAUUUGUACACCAGCUUGCGGGGGACAUAUCAGAAAUAAUGUAAUUUAAUUAAAUUCAGUGUCAUUAGC